rnacentral:rRNA from 1 species
GUUGAUCCUGCGGGAGGUUGCUGCUAUUGGAAUUCGACUAAGCCAUGCAAGUCUGGGGUUUUUCGGAACACCGGCAAACUGCUCAGUAACACGUCAAUAAUUUCCCCUUCAGUCUAGGAUAACCUCGGGAAACUGAGGCUAAACCCGGAUAGGAAAUAGUAAUUGGAAAAUGCUAUUUUCAAAAGGUAACGCUGAAGGAUAAGUUGGCGGCUGAUUAGGUUGAUGGUGAGGUAAAGGCUCACCAUGCCGUAGAUCAGUAGGGGCCCUGAGAGGGGGAGCCCCGAGAAGGGUACUUAGAUACUGGCCCUAGCCCUACGGGGUGCAGCAGGCGCGAAACCUUCACAAUGCACGCAAGUGUGAUAAGGGGAUUCCAAGUGCUCAUGUUAUACAUGGGCUUUUGCCAAAAGUAAAUAUUUUGGCGAAUAAGUGGUGGGCAAGACGGGUGCCAGCCGCCGCGGUAACACCUGCGCCACGAGUGGCAACCAGUUUUAUUUGGCCUAAAGCGUUCGUAGCUGGUUUGAUAAAUCUCUUGUGAAAUCGUUGGGCUUAACCCAACGGCGUGCUUGAGAAACUGUCAAACUUGGAACCGGAGAGGAGUUAGGAGUAUGCCGGGGGGAGCGGUAGAAUGCUAUAAUCCCCGGUGGACUACCUGUGGCGAAGGCGCCUAACCAGAACGGAUUCGACAGUGAGGGACGAAAGCCAGGGGAGCGAUCAGGAUUAGAUACCCUAGUAGUCCUGGCUGUAAACGCUGCGAGCUAGGUGUUGCAUAUCUUCCGAGGAUAUGCAGUGUUGAAGCGAAGGUGUUAAGCUCGCCGCCUGGGAAGUACGGUCGCAAGACUGAAACUUAAAGGAAUUGGCGGGGAGACACUACAACGGGUGAGGCGUGCGGUUUAAUCUAAUUCAACGCAGAGAACCUCACCAGAGGCGACGGCAGAAUGAUAGUCAGUCUGAAGGGCUUACUAGACGAGCCGAGAGGUAGUGCAUGGCCGCCGUCAGCUCGUGCUGUGAAGUGUCCAUUUAAGUAUGGUAACGAGCGAGACCUGUAUCUACAAUUGCUAAUGAAUCUUUUAAGAUGGCGAGCACAUUGUAGAGACUGCCCGGGAAACUGGGAGGAAGGUGCAGGCAACGGUAGGUCUGUAUGCUCCGAAUCUUCUGGGCUACACGCGCGCAACAAUGGUAAGGACAAUGGGCUACAACUCCGAAAGGAGAAGUUAAUCCUCGAAACCUUAUCUUAGUACAGAUUGAGGGUUGAAACUCACCCUCAUGACGCUGGAAUCCGUAGUAAUCAGGUAUCAUCAUUGCCUGGUGAAUAUGUCCCUGUCUCUUGCACACACCGCCCGUCAAUCCACCCGAGCGGGGUUUGGAUGAGGAUUAGUCGUUUGAUUAAUUCGAAUCUAGGCUUUGUGAGGAGGGAUAAGUCGUCACAAGGUA